AACCCUGCAUUCAGUUGCCAUCGGUAAGCCGGGGCACUCUGGAUGGACUGCCGGCGACAAGCCGGAGGAAGGUGGGGACGACGUCAAGUCAUCAUGGCCCUUAUGUCCAGGGCGACACACGUGCUACAAUGGCCGGCACAACGGGAAGCGAAGGGGCGACCCUGAGCGGAUCCCACAAAAGCCGGUCUCAGUUCGGAUUGCAGUCUGCAACUCGACUGCAUGAAGUUGGAAUCGCUAGUAAUCGUGGAUCAGCCAAGCCGCGGUGAAUACGUUCCCGGGCCUU
rnacentral:rRNA from 1 species